AGCGGGGGGCGGCGGCGCUCCGUCGUCGGCAGGUGCCGGCGGCUGGGCCAGGGCGAGGUGCAGCUUGGCGACCAGCAGCAGGGAGAGCAGCCUGAGGAGCAUGCUCGCCUCGCCGUCAGGAGCGGCCACAGUGGUGUCACCGGAUCAUCAUCAGCAGCAGCGGCAGGGUGCAGGUCUGCUGCGACUCGGCACUUUCUCGGGCACCGGUGGGCUCCCUUUCCUUCUUUUGCCCCCUUUUGUUUUGAAGAGAAGGAGGAGAAGGGGAGAGAAGAAAUUCAGGCACCAAAACCCGCCUCGAUCGUCUCCGGUGAGAUGGUUAAAAAGAAAAAAAAAGGAAAAAAAAAAAGGAAAAAAAAAAAGCUCAAGAAGCGGCAAGCGUCCCAGAUUUUUGUAAAAGCCCCCUCCCUGUAUCUUUUCUGUUGUUGUUGUUGUUAUCCCCAGUCUGUCGAUGUGAACAAGAGGAGAAGAGAGAGAAAUGUGAAGAUGAGAGGAGGUGGAACAAUGAAUUUAUAGCGGAAUGCCAUCCUGCAAUGGCAAUUUCAACAAUUCGUCACUGCAGGCUGCCUCUUAAAGGGAGAGCUUCAAAACCACCACUCCCACACUUCCUUCUCAUUUAAUCAGACAGAGGGAGAAACUUGAGGGGAGGGGGAAAAAGGAGAGGGGGCGGCGGGGGGAGGAGAAAAGGAGGGAGAGAGAGCGGGAGAGAGGGAGGCAGGAGAGUGGAAGAGAGGGAGGAAGCCGGGGAGGGGAGAGAGACCGGGAGUAAAAAUGUUUGUGUAUGAAAAACCCAAGAUUUCCCUUGAACCGCUUAAAGCCACAGAGUAACCCGGCGGUUGAGGUGUCACCGCUGGCCGGGGACGGUGAAGCUGCGCUUACCUCGCAUCCUGCCCGCUUCCCCCUCUCUCCUGCCCGGCGCUGCCCUUCAUUUUGCGGUGUUCAGCGGAGGAGGCAGGUUUGCGCUUGGCUUUCGGAGGGAAAGGGGAGCGGCCGCGGCUUUUCCGAGAGUGCCGGUGAUGCUGAUCGCCCAGGGGCAGCGGGAGGGUGGGACGCGCCCCCGCCGCGGCCCCCGCCGUCCCGGCCGAGGGGACGUGGCUUGUCCCUUGCCCCUGCACCUUUCUGGGGUCAGCGGCAGCACCAAACUUCCUCCCUUUGUCUGGGCGGCCGCGGCUCGUCUGCACCCAGCCUGUCAUUAAGUCUCGGCAAGCUGUCAUCUAGUUUGGGCAGACUGUGAUUUCCCCCGAGCCCCCGAGGACGAGGGCGGGCGGGAAGAGUUAAUGCUUGCUUUGACCUUUUGAAUGACUUCAGAUACUUAGAUCAUCUCCUUGCUGACUGACACACACAUUCACUCACCCUGUCCCCUCAUCUUCCUUCCCACUCUUCGUGCUCCGCCGGGGACACCACAGAGGGCACAUGUCUGCAUUUACUUUUUCAUCUGCCCUUUCCACCUUAACGCUGCCCGGAGAGCAAGAGGAGAUUGGCAAGCAGCUCACUCUCUGCCGACAUCAAGGGCUGGAAGGCAGCCUGGGCUCUGGAAAAGUGAGGGGAGCCGGACCCCAGAGGAGUCCAACUCUGCUGGCUUCCCCCCUGCAGAGAUGUGGGACCCAGCAUCGCCAGGUGCUGUCUCUUGCACCAGGUCAAACACGGACACUUUGGGACACAAGUGCUUGUUGUCGUGCAUAUCCUUUCCACGUCCCAAGAUGGGUGCCAGGAACAGGUAAUCUCUGGCUGCAGGACUCCAAAGGGGAUGCAGCUCUCCCAUUUCAUCAUAGCCUGCAAACAGCAUCUCAGCCCGACCACUCUGUCUGCAAUGGAGUGAUGUGCACAUCUGUCAUACUUGGCAGGAUCAGGACCGUGGUGGUCAGCUGCACAGAGAAGGGCAGACCAUCAUCUACCUCCGUAGCUUCCAGAGGCUGCUAUGGGAGUCUAACAAUUCUGUAAAGAAAGGGUUAACUAAUGCCACAAACAUUUCAAAACUUAAUAUUCCCAUGUAAAUUAUUACAUUAACAUAACCCUGAGGUUAUGCUUAUUAAAUAUUUAACGCACCAAA